rnacentral:tRNA from 1 species
GAAAAUCCGGUCGACUUUAGAAAU